GGGUGACCAGUGACAGAGGGAGGGGGUGACACAGUGAGGGAGGGGGUGACUAGUGACAGAGUGAGGGAGGUGGUGACUGUCACUAGUCACCACCUCCCUCACUCUGUCCCUAGUCACCCCUCCCUCUGUCACUAGUCACCCCCUUCCUCACUCUGUCACUAGUCACCCUUUCCCUCCCUAACGCUGUCACUAGUCACCACUUCCUUCCCUCACUCUGUCACUAGUCACACC